rnacentral:rRNA from 1 species
UCGGGAUUAAAUUACGGCAGGUCGAAGACGAUCGGGAAAAGGAUCACACGAUCGUCCCGUGUUACAAAUCCCAAAUCAAUCCCAACUCCUUCCCGGCUUGGCUUGGCUUUGCUUCGCUUCCGCAUGCCUCCUCCUCGUCGCCAUCUUCCCAAACCCUAGCCCGCGCCGCCCUUUCCCCCGAAACCCUAGAUCUCCCUAUGGCCUCCGCCGCUGCGGCGGCCCCAGUCGUGGGCCAGGUCGUGGAGCGGUUCCGCGCGCGGCUGCGGGAGGAGGCGGGAGAGGAGCCGGGGGCGGCCGCGGUGGUGGGCGUCUACAAGGAGGCCCUCGCCGAGCUCACCUUCAACUGCAAGCCCAUCAUCACCGAGCUUACCAUCAUCGCGGGCCAGCACGCCGCGCUCGCCGCCAGGGGCAUCGCCGACGCCAUCUGCGCCCGCAUCCUUGAGGUGCCAGUCGAGCAGAAAUUGCCAUCUUUGUAUCUGCUAGAUAGUAUCGUGAAGAACAUAGGACAAGAAUAUGUAGAGGACUUUGCCACUCGAUUGCAGAAGGUAUUUUGUUUUGCAUACAGGGAAGUUCAUCCCAAACAGCAUCCUGCAAUGCGACACCUCUUCCGUACCUGGUCGCAAGUGUUCCCUUCUUCUGUCCUUCAAGGGAUCGAGGAUGAGCUUCAGUUUUCUCCUUCAGAGAAUAAGCGUCCUGCCACAACGACUAUUCCGCGACAGUCAGAGUCGUUAUCUCCUAGGCCAUCUCAUGGCAUCCAUGUAAAUCCAAAGUAUCUAGAAGCGCAACACCAACUCAAGAACGGUACCAAGGUGGAUCAGCUAGCAACUCGAGGCAGGCAAAUGCUUGACGUGGCGGAGGAUCAUAUUAAUGGGUUAACAACAAAUAGUUUGCGGGGAUUUCCUUCCACUUCUUCAAAGCUCCAGAGAUCUAUGAUACUGUAUACUGAAAAUCCUGAUCAACAAGAAACAUUUCAAUCACGUAUUGGAUUGAUAAGAAGAGAUAUGUCCAGAUCACCACCUCCUGAUGUGCUCCCUAGGAAUGCAUCCCCAAAAAGACCACUAGAGAUGCCGCGGCUGUCUCAUUCUGCAUUGGGGCAUGAUCCUAGAAGAUUGCCUGGUAGGAAUGGUUGGUUUGAACGGCAACGUGCUUUUGAGGAUAGUGCACAACGGCCUUCGAUGAGCACGCUUGAUGAAGAAUAUAGGAAACAAAGUGCAAGAGAACUUAUUGAUGCCUACGGAAAUUCUCAAGGCAAUGGUGCUGAUGAUAGGCUUCCCAAGAUGCAACGGCUAGAAUCAAAUGGCAUGGCAAGUAGAUCCAGUGCACAAAAAUGGCUCACUUCAGAGGAAGAGGAGUAUACUUGGGAGGAUAUGCGUCCAACUUUGUCCCGAAAUAGAAACAACAUUCCGUCUUUACCUUCCUCUGAAACCUUGGGAGCUGGAUUUCCUGGGCCAAACACUGGGCAGCUGGAUUCUGAUAUUGGGAUGCGCAGCUGGCGAAGCCAGGCUCCUCGACCAGCACUAAAUCUCGAAGACAGGACUGAUCAUGUUGACAUAGCCACUAGUAGGAGAUAUCCAGGCAAUUUUGGUCUGCACAAUGGAGCUAUUUCAGAGUACCAUAGUUCUGUGAAUACCCUUGAUCCUGGAAGAAUUCUUGCUAUGUCAGCUCCACCGUGGCAGCAGACUAAUGGCCUGCCUUUGCGAAUACAAGCACCUCAACCUUCAUCAACACUGAAUAGGUUGGCACUGCCCACUGAUGUUGAAAUGCCUGUCAAGAUGUUGGCCACUGGUGGUCCAUAUGAUGCUAUGCAUGUAGACUUACCCUUGACUAAUAGGUCCUCGCCUGCUCCUGCUCCCAUAGAAUGGCCUCUUCAUCAUAGUCAACCACCACAUAAUACAAAAGAUAUUAGAGGUGCAACAGAUAGUCUUGAAGUUAGGCCAUUUAUCAGGCAUGGAGUCAAUUCAUCUGUAUUUGUUCCUCGGCAUCUAUAUGAUGCAUUGGAUCGGAAAACUGUAAGUACCGGUAACUUAGCUCAACCACCAUACCAGCACCCAGAUUUGUUGUCAUCGAGUCAACAGAAUCAAGGUACAAAUUUUGGAAAUCAAUCUCAGCCUCAUGAUGUGCCACAGUUUCAUCCUCAUUCCCAUUCCCAUCCUCCGGAGGCAUUUAGAAGCUUUGCCCCCAGCAUGCCUAUAGCUCCCCCCCAAAAUCCAUUCCAAGGACAAGGAGGUAGUGCAGCAGUACCACCAGUUACACCUCUACCAAACACCUUUUCUGUAACACCUACUGUGCAACCCUAUGGUGUGUCGUCAGUGUCUAGUUUUGCUCUGCCACCAUUACAUCGUGGCCUACCUCCUGCUUCGUUGCAGAUGGGUCCAUCUUCAUCACAAGUUGGUGGGCCUACAACAUAUUUCUCUGGAAUUUUAAGUAACCUUAUGAAUCACGGUGUAAUUACACUGGAGCCUUCUAGUCAACCUCAGGACUCUGUUGGAGUUGACUUCAAUGUAGACCUCAAGGUGCGCAACGAGUCUGUCAUUAAUGCUCUGUAUCAGGAUCUCCACAGGCAAUGCAAAACGUGUGGCCUUCGUUUUAAAUGCCAGGAAGAGCACCGUGCUCAUAUGGAUUGGCAUGUUACGAAAAACAGAAAUUCCAAAAAUCGCAAGCAAUCUUCACGUAAAUAUUUUGUCACCGUGGGGGAAUGGUUAAGAGCAGCAGAAACAGUAGGAAAUGAUGGUGUUCCUUCUUUCGAGCUCACGGAACCAAUCCCUGACAGAAAUGAAGAGAAAGAAAUGGCUGUUCCUGCCGAUGAAAACCAAACAACAUGUGCUUUAUGUCAAGAGCCAUUUGAGGAUUUCUACAGCGAUGAAACUGAAGAGUGGAUGUACAAAGGUGCAGUUUACAUGAAUGCACCUGAUGGUAAUAUUGUUGGUCUCCAAAGGUCGCAUUUGGGGCCUAUUGUCCAUUCCAAAUGUCGAUCUGGCCCCAGUAAUAUUUCUUAGGUGGGCCUAGCUGGAACCCUUGCCCCAUUAUUUCAGUUUCUUUGGUUGCGGCUAGACAAGACAUGUAAAAUUACUGGAGAGAUCAGAUUUUGGUAUGCUUAGUUUCCCCCCUCUCCUGGCAACAGUUUGAAUAGAAUGUUAAUGUGACAAUAGUAGUGUAAAAUUGUAAAAUACUUGUGUUUUAGUGAUGGAGCAUGAGUAACUUGCUCUGCAGUCGCCACAGUUGUCGCCUGCUGCUUUUACAUUAAUAGAUAUGGAAUCCUCUUGAUCUAGGAUGACAUGCAUACCCUUCAUGAACAGGCGAAACAAACAUGCUCCUACCCUUUUCUUGUCCCCUUCCUCUUUGCAAUCUCAUAUGCAGGACAAUGUCAGCCCAUGAGUGCUGGUAACUUCCGAGAAAACCCAGGACGAAAGAAUCAAGGCAUCCGUCAACAGCUCUCCUAUACUAAUAGAUGAGCAAGAUGUUGCUGUUAUUUCUUUGGUUUGUCUUUCUUUGCACGUCUCUGCAUUGUAACAGUGUGUGACAAUAAAUUCUUGGUCGCUUGUAUAACUCCACCCUCCUGGAUUGUCUGCUGUUAAAGAAAAAACCUGUUUGUGCAAUAUGUUGCUAUGUCUUUUUGUAGGGAGCAUUUUCCUUAGAG